GGUAAAAUGGCCGAGUAAGCAUUAGACUGUAAAUCUAAAGACAGAGGUUCGAGUCCUCUUUUUACCA
rnacentral:tRNA from 1 species